rnacentral:rRNA from 1 species
GUAGGGCGCAAGCAUUGUCCGGAUUUAUUGGGCGUAAAGAGCUCGUAGGCGGCCUGUCGCGUCGACUGUGAAAACUCACGGCUUAACCGUGGGACUGCAGUCGAUACGGGCAGGCUAGAGUUCGGUAGGGGAGACUGGAAUUCCUGGUGUAGCGGUGAAAUGCGCAGAUAUCAGGAGGAACACCGGAGGCGAAAGCGGGUCUCUGGGCCGAUACUGACGCUGAGGAGCGAAAGCGUGGGGAGCGAACAGGAUUAGAUACCCUGGUAGUCCACGCCGUAAACGUUGGGCGCUAGGUGUGGGGGGCCUCUCCGGUCCUCUGUGCCGCAGCUAACGCAUUAAGCGCCCCGCCUGGGGAGUACGGCCGCAAGGCUA